rnacentral:rRNA from 1 species
GCAGGCCUAACACAUGCAAGUCGAGCGGAUGAGGGAAGCUUGCUUCCCAAUUUAGCGGCGGACGGGUGAGUAAUGCCUAGGAAUCUGCCUAUUAGUGGGGGAUAACGUUCCGAAAGGAACGCUAAUACCGCAUACGUCCCACGGGAGAAAGUGGGGGAUCUUCGGACCUCACGCUAAUAGAUGAGCCUAGGUCGGAUUAGCUAGUUGGUGGGGUAACGGCUCACCAAGGCGACGAUCCGUAGCUGGUCUGAGAGGAUGAUCAGCCACACUGGAACUGAGACACGGUCCAGACUCCUACGGGAGGCAGCAGUGGGGAAUAUUGGACAAUGGGCGAAAGCCUGAUCCAGCCAUGCCGCGUGUGUGAAGAAGGUCUUCGGAUUGUAAAGCACUUUAAGUUGGGAGGAAGG